GCGAUUCGCCCUUCGGGGUGCCCAGGCGCGAAAACUUUGCAAUACACGAAAGUGUGACAGGGCUAUCCCGAGUGCCAUCCACUGAGGAAGGCUUUUACCCAGUCUAGAACGCUGGGGGAAUAAGGAGAGGGCAAGUCUGGUGUCAGCCGCCGCGGUAAUACCAGCUCUCCGAGUGGUGUGGAUGUUUAUUGGGCCUAAAGCAUCCGUAGCUGGCUAAGUUAGUCCCUUGUUAAAUCCACCGAAUUAAUCGUUGGAUUGCGGGGGAUACUGCUUGGCUAGGGGACGAGAGAGGCAGACGGUAUUUCCGGGGUAGGGGUGAAAUCCUAUAAUCCCGGGAAGACCACCAGUGGCGAAGGCUGUCUGCUAGAACGCGCCCGACGGUGAGGGAUGAAAGCUGGGGGAGCGAACCGGAUUAGAUACCCGGGUAGUCCCAGCUGUAAACGAUGCAGGCUAGGUGUUUGGACGGCCACGUGCCGUUCUAGCGCCGCAGGGAAGCUGUUAAGCCUGCCGCCUGGGGAGUACGAUCGCAAGAUUGAAACUUAAAGGAAUUGGCGGGGGAGCAC
rnacentral:rRNA from 1 species